CCCGCCGGUGCCCGGGGAACCCGGUGUCUUGGGGCGCGGCUGGGAGGCGUCAGCUGUACUGCGGUCUGUGUGCCUCCUUGGGCCUCCAGAGGAGGAGUGAGCCAGAGGUGCGGGAAGGAAAAGACUCAAACCUGGAAGACAGUGCAGUGUGGGGGAUACUCCAGGUACAGCCAGAGGACGUUGGCGUUUCCCUGUCAGGCUAAUAGAGAUCUUGAUGCUGGAGUUGCGGUUGAACAAGAUGCUCAGGUAAAUGAGACCUAAUACGUGAUGGUUUUACUGUGACAUGUAAGUGACAAAAAUCCAUGUUAGUAAAUCAUCAGCAGUGUUGUAAGAGCAACUUAUUUAUGGGUCAUUACCAAAUCAUAAGACCCUGCAAGUAUAGUUUUCUCAUUUUGAUCUGGCAACAAAAUAUUUUAUCCCAAAAUGAGAUGAAAUGAAAUAAAUUGCUUAUGAACAGUGAGUCCCAUCUAGAUGUUACCCUUUUCCAGUUAUGGAACAUUCAUAGAACAGAAAUUAAAACAAGAACAACUUAGGUGUUUGUUUUGUUUUGUUUUUUUGUUUUUUUUCCUAAAAGGACAGGGUAGAACUGUAUGCAGUAGAUGAAGAAAGAAUAUCUCAGUGAUAAAAGGUGUUUUCUUUUUUUUUCAAAGCU